ACUCUAUCAAGAAACCACACCAUUUAUUUAUGCCCAGAUUAGGCAGUACAGUAUCUGACGGAAAGGACUUUGGUAAUUCAAUUUCAUAUCUAACACGCCUCACACUGUGACACAGCAGGAGAGCCCAGAGCGGCAGCUGUUGGAAUGAAUGCCCUCUUCCUGCUGAAGUCUGACAUUUCCAAGACUAAAGUGGGGAGUCCUGUUUUUUUCCGAAACAUAGCAGCAGCAGAGAUGUGGCUAUUGCGAUCAGAAUUACUUGGCUAGAAACAAGGGAAGUAAUCUUUCUGCCUCAGUCUCCAAUCCUCAGCCUGCAGGGAUUACAAUCAUAAGCCACCAUGUCUAGCACAAGCCACGUUUGUCAGGACCGAAGAUGCCAGUGGUGUUUUAAUUAUAAGAUCACAGUAUUCCUUUGUCCUAUGUCUAGAGACUUCUUGGAAGCUGGAGCACACAAAUAGCUAUAGCAAAACUUGAGGAAUGGGCAUGAAUAGACUGGCUUCGGGGAACCUGCCAGCUUGGCUGUGUGGCCAAGGUAAGAGGCAAGCCAAGGCAGAGCUAGAGCUCAGAGCUGGAGGGUAAAUUGAAGCAACAAAUGUAGAAAUAUUAAGCCAGAAGAGGCGACAACGUUGAAUUCUAAAAUGCAGGCCAAAGCUCAGACUUCAAGCUGCCUGGCUGCCCCUGGAGUGCCCAGAGGUCAAAGUCCAGCAGGGGCAAAGGUGGGGGUGUGGUCCUGGAAUGUGAGUAUUGGAAGGAUGUGCAAGAGGAGGCACUUUAAGGUCCAGAGAUUCCAGGUGCCUGGUGUACCCUUGGAAGAAUAAAGGGCUAGGAACUGGGUAAGUAAGGCUCAAGUCCAAGCUGUCUAAGGAAUCAGGAAAGAAUGGAGCUCAGAGUUAAAGGUCAGGGCAGUGUCUAAAAAUCCAGGAUAGCAACAAAGCUGGAGGGGGCCUCUGACUCUGGUAAGGGCAGCCUGCAGCAUCAUGCCACGGGAGGCCUGAUUGAUCACUGCAAGGUUCUUUGAAUUGACUGCACCACGAAUUACACCAUAGUCAAGCCAUAGUGACUCCUGUGACCCACACAUACACCUCCAGAUGGCCUCCUGGAGCCAGAAAGCCUGAGAUACCAAGAAAACCGCAAAAAUAGAAGACUAGCCCCUGCAAUGCCUGAUUAACCGACCUUGCAACAUUCCACCACUGCUUCUGCCUCAACUGAUAAAUCAACCUUGUGACACUGUACACUGUGGCCUGAUUAACUGACCUUGCGACAUUCUACCACUGUUCCUGCCUCAAUGGAUAGGUCAACCUUGUGACAUUGGACCCUGUGACACCCCCCACCCCUGGCUUGCAAAAAAAAAACUCCCUAAACUAUAACUUUCCAUUGUCUGCUCCCAGUCUGUAAAACCAGCUCCUAUCCCACCACCCUCUGUUGACUCUCUUUUCAGACUCAGCCUGUUCACAUCCAAGUGAAUAAACAGCCUUGGUGCUCACACAAAGCCUGUUUAGGCGGUCUCUUCACUCAGAGCACACUUAACAAUCACGCCUUGCAUUUGCAGACAAGGAUUAGUAGGGUAUGAGUAGGAUUCUGCUGGUGCCAGGGAAGGCAAUGCCAUCUACAUCUUUAGAAAGUUUUAACAAAGGCCUGAAGGACACAAUCUUCUCCAAAGUCCCGAUGUUGCUGUUUGCUGGCAACAAUUUGAGUGAAAAGAGAAGUGGCACAGAAUGCGCCAGGGAUGUGCUGCGUAUAGCCCCGAGGACCACAAGGGCUUCCUGGGUCAAGUCUGCCAUCUCUGGCUAAGAUGGACUCACCAUCUAGGACCUUGACCGAGUCCUUGGACCACCAAGAAUGCCCCACCAAGAGCCUCCUUCUGAUGGCUUGUGCCUGCUUACCAUGGAGAACUCCAGAAGGGAGGAGGAGAACGUGGCAGGGAUCCUAACUUUCUUGCUGAAGGAAGUUCUUAACAAGUACCCAUCUGCCUUCAGGGAAGAAACAUAACUCAUUUUUGUCUUUCAAAUUCAAUUCUCAAAACCAAAUCCUGUUGUCAGCAAUCCGUGUCCCAACGCCUUCCUCAGCAACAGCAUUUUCCCUGUAGAAUUAGUUUCCAAUGUUCUUUCUUAAAUAAUCCACAGAAGAUUAAAAGGAAUCCAGAUACUCACCA